CGAGGACGAACGCUGGCGGCGUGCUUAACACAUGCAAGUCGAACGGUGACCCAGGGCUUGCCCUGGUGAUCAGUGGCGAACGGGUGAGUAACACGUGGGCAACCUGCCCCUGACUUCGGGAUAAACUCCUCGAAAGAGGAGCUAAUACCGGAUACGACCACUUCGGACAUCCGAUGGUGGUGGAAAGUUUUUCGGUCAGGGAUGGGCCCGCGGCCUAUCAGCUAGUUGUGGGGUAAUGGCCUACCAAGGCGACGACGGGUAGCCGGCCUGAGAGGGCGACCGGCCACACUGGGACUGAGACACGGCCCAGACUCCUACGGGAGGCAGCAGUGGGGAAUAUUGCGCAAUGGCGAAAGCCUGACGCAGCGACGCCGCGUGAGGGAUGAAGGCCUUCGGGUUGUAAACCUCUUUCAGCAGGGACGAAGCGAAAGUGACGGUACCUGCAGAAGAAGCACCGGCUAACUACGUG
rnacentral:rRNA from 1 species